rnacentral:misc_RNA from 1 species
GGAGCGGCGGCAGCAUAAGAUGGACAAGGCUGCGAAGCAGGUGUCGGCGAUUUCGGUGGAGGUCGACAGGCUCAUCGCUAAGGUCACUGCCUUGGAGGCAAUUGUGUCUAAAGGCAGCAAGGUGGUCGAGAAAGACAUACUUCAGCUUAUUGAGCUGCUAAUGGCACAGCUGAUUCAACUCGAUGGAGUUGUUGCCGACGGGGAUGCCAAGGUGCAGAGGGGAUUGCAGGUUAGGAGAGUUCAGAGGUAUGUGGAGGUGCUCGAUGCAAUCAAAAUCAAGAACGAAGACCAAACACAACCGAAUCCACCACAGAAACCACAGACGAUGCAUCCUAAGCCCCUGCAGAAACCACCGAAGACAACACAUUCUAAGCCCCAGCAGCAGCCACUGCCAUCUGCAGCGACGGAGACGACGAAGUGGGAGACGUUCGACUCGCUAUUCUCCCCAUCCACUUCGACGGUCACCUCAAAGGCGGCGACUCCGGUGCCAAGAUUCAAAUGGGAGUUAUUUUGAUGUGGAGUAGAGAGCUUGCAAC